AGCAGCCGCGGUAAUUCCAGCUCCAAUAGCGUAUAUUAAAGUUGUUGCAGUUAAAAAGCUCGUAGUUGAAUUUCGGGACCAAUUUGUUGGUCGUGCCUCGGUACGUACUGGUAUUAUUGGUUUCUCCCUUCUGAAGAACCUUGAUGUCAUUAAUUUGGUGUCUUGGGAAAUCAGGACUGUUACUUUGAAAAAAUUAGAGUGUUUAAAGCAGGCAUACGCUUGAAUACAUUAGCAUGGAAUAAUGAAAUAGGACGUUUGAUUCUAUUUUGUUGGUUUCUAGGAUCGACGUAAUGAUUAAUAGGGAUAGUUGGGGGCAUUAGUAUUCAAUUGUCAGAGGUGAAAUUCUUGGAUUUAUUGAAGACUAACUACUGCGAAAGCAUUUGCCAAGGAUGUUUUCAUUAAUCAAGAACGAAAGUUAGGGGAUCGAAGACGAUCAGAUACCGUCGUAGUCUUAACCAUAAACUAUGCCGACUAGGGAUCGGAUGAUGUUAAUUUUUUAAUGACUCAUUCGGCGCCUUACG
rnacentral:misc_RNA from 1 species